rnacentral:lncRNA from 1 species
UGGGAGUCAAGUCAUUGACUUGUGUUGUUGUAUUCCCUUGUUUAACUUCAACAAUGGGCUUGGGCUUGAAGAUUGACUCAAGAAAUGUCUGAGUGAGAUCUCCGGCGAUGGCUGAGCUGAAGAGGUAAAGCCCGAAUAGAAUAUGAACGACAGAGCUUACUAAAAGCUCUGCUAGUUGAACAGCUGACAUAAGCAACAAUGGAAUCAUCUUUUCUUAAAAAGGUUCGAUCUUUCGUCUCUUUUGACAAUACCCACUUUAUAAAAAUCUGAUUUUUUUUAUUCUUGUUCUUCGGAUAUUCCUAGAAAGUUUUUGGUUCUGUUAUUUUCAAAUAGUGUGAAAAGGAAAAGGGAAUGUGUCAAGAGAAGUGGCUAUAUGUUGACAGUGAAACAAGAUGACAAACUCUAAUGAAUGUAUGUAUGAACUAAGAGAAGUUUUCUACUUCUUCUUCUCGUUUGCUUUCUAGAAGUGUGUGGAGAAACGAGCUCUCUGUGUGUUUAUUUUUCUCUGACUAAUGUCCAAUGAAAGACUCACACUUCAUUCUCUUUUCUGGGAGAGACGCGUCUGAGAGUCAAGAAAAGCUCCAAAGAAGAAUAACGGAAUGUGUUUCGCGCUCUUUCUCUGUGGAUGCCACGUGUGUAUUCUGGUAAUAGAGUGGGUCCCGGUGGUAUAUGGGUAAACAAUCUGAAUAAUAAUAACAUUUGUUGCUGUUUUUCUUGAAGUUUCGACAAAAAGAAAAUUGUUGAAAGUUCAAAUAUCUUGACAUGAUACAAUCAAGUUUAUUCCAUUAUUAACUUUGAUUUUAUCGUAACUUGUUAGCAAAGAUAUAAUUUAAUGAAUUUGAACUAAAGACUAAACAUCCAAAAAGAUUGAUAAGCCCGCUUGUUAGAGAGGAAAAAAAUUGCAUGCGAAUACUACUACGGGAACGAACGAGAGCUAUGAGUAAAAUUCACAUUCAUGUUAAUGUAACAAUUCACAUUUGAUAACAUUAAUCAAUCGGUACAUUUCUUUUGAAACACAUAUUUAGAAAAAAAAAUCUCCGGAUCUUUGUCCCGAGUCCUCAAUCCCCAAAAAAUCUCAUCUACGUAUGCUGAAAAGUGUAAACACACAAUUUACUUCUUUUUCUUGUUUUCUUUAUGGACAUUUCGAGUUUUUACCAGGUCCUCCAUAAUAAAAAUAGUUACCCCAAACCCGGUUUACUCCCCCUCUUAUGUCAUAACAAUUAGGAUGAUCCGCAAGAACUCUAAGAUUAGAUAUCGGUAUAAGUGUAUUGUCCCAAUCUACCACCUCAAGAUUCCUAAAGUACGAUGCUUUUCCAAAACCUUCACCGGCAAAAUGGCCACUCCCCAUCUGAGUCGAAGUAUGUGAACCAUCAGGUUGUGUGUUUACGAUCUCCCCACCGAAUUGGACCAUGUUCCCAUGCUCCAUUAGGUGUGUGAACAAAGACACGGGCCAAUACCCCACUAGUGUACCUGACCCGAAUUGGAGCCACCAGUGUCCGUGUUUUGGGUCCUACACAUUGUGUUUUUUGACGAAGUUGCGUUAAUAGGAUAGUUGUAUGUACGCAUGUAAAGGUUGCGUUAAUAGGAUAGCUACAUGGAUACUCCCAUGUGCAUGGUUUUUAUCAAAAAUAGUAGUAUGAUAUGAGGGAGACAUUCGAAAUUAACGCCAAGAGAAAUUGAGUUUAUAAAUUGUUAGGGGACAAUUCAAUUUAAUUACAUGACGUGCAAUUGUUAUUAUGGUGACACUUGAGUGCCCCUGCCAGAUGGGAAUCGUAUUAAUAUUCUACAUAAAGUGAUUAUAUAAAGGAUAGUAAUCUCAAACUUAAGGAUGAAAUAAAAUAGUUUAGAUAUGUUGAAGAGGCAAUUACCUUCCAUAUCAGUAGACUUAUAUCGAAUUGUCCACCUUUAUAUGACGAAACCGGAGAAAUAGCAGCUCCGAUAGCAAUUCGGUUGUUUGUCUGAAUAAAACCGGAACACAAUAAGUUAUAGCAUCCUGUUGCCUGGUACGCAUCCGACUGCAUAAAGAUAGUCCAUAACAGUUCAUUAUAUUAUAGAAGGACAAAUAAAUAAAUAAAGAGUUUUCGAUUUACAGUUUUGAAGUUGGAUGAAAGUAUGCAUACCGUCCAAUAGGUGAAAAAUCUUGGGUUAGUGUCUCCGUACAGCUCCGGGCUAACCUGUCCGACAUAAUCAAUAUGCUAAGAAUUUAGAUAGUUUUGUGAAAGUAAAUAAGAUAAAUAAUAAGAAAAGUAAAUAAUUAUUGACAAAUAGGGGAGAUGUAUGGCACGUGCCUGCCAACCAGCUUCGAUGGUAUUAAGAUCGUCGGCGAAAGAACCGGCGAUGACCCAAAUCUGAGAUAGACUAAACUCGUAUUUGCUGCUUACAUGUGGCGUCCACACAUUUACAUUCGCUUUUGCUCCGUAGUAUUUACUUCCCGAUACGUAUCCCACCGCAUGCUACACAUAUUAUAAAAGCUUAUACUAAUUUGUAUUGGAAUAUACUAAUAUAAUCUUUUUCUUUUCUUUCUCGAACAAAAAACAGUAAUCUCCGACAAGUAACAUUCUGUUAGUGGCAUUGCAAAGAUUUGCGAGAAAGGUGAUUUUUGGUAUUAUUAUGUACCUAUUUCUUUUAAGAGAUCAAUAAAUAAAAAGAAAUAAGCUCUGACUUCUUGCUAAAGUUAAGCUAGUAAUGAGUACCUCGUGGCCGUUACUACUCGAGUCCCUUCUCACGCGCCUUAUUUUGCGACCAAAUUUACGGACAUAACUUGCUCUUAACAUGUCUUGCUCCGUUGUUCUUCUGAUCGGAAUCGUACCUUCUGGACAAAACUCACCGGUUAAACUCCAAAGCUGAAAAUCUUCAUGGGAUUCAUUUUCUUGGCAGUGCCCUUUGGGCAUCUCUGGUGGAUCCUAAACAUGUUUGCAUAUAAUUUAGGGGCUUUGAGAUUUAAAUAAUUAUGAUAAGUACAAGAAAUGUGAGCUAUUACCAUUGGUCUUUGUCCUUGUAACAAGGGAUGAUCAAAAGCUGGCUGGUGAUGAGAUGGAACACAAUCUAUUAUAUCUCCAUCUGAGCUCUGAAAUAAUCACAAGAACAUUAACUUAGUCAGAAGUUUUCUUAAUGGUGAAAAAAUUACAUUCGCAUGUUCAUCAUAAAAAAAUAUUACAUACGCGCUUAUGACAUAUUUUUGAGGAAAAACAAAGUGUAUUAGAAGCUUAAAAGAUGUAUGUCAAACACUGACUUUUUCAAUGUUAGAAAUUAAACAGAAAGUAGACUACCGAAAUGUAUCAAGAUUUGUUAGCAAAUUCUUUAUUUUUGAAAAAAAAAAUCCUUAAAAAUCACGUAAUGUCUCUGUAAACGAACACACGUCUCUGAACCUAGUUUACACAUAAAAAAGAAAGAAGAUAGUUUGGAUUUUACCUGAAUGGUCUUAAUGGCGGGUUUAUUGAUCUUUGGGAGGUGUUCUCUGAUGAGUUUCAGCUUCUGAAUCUCAUGUUGAGGCCGGAAAGUCACACUUUCGUUUGUGGCGUUAUGUAGAGAAGCAUAGGAGGAGAAGGAAGAAGAGAGGAGGCAGAGUAAGAUAAUGGAAGUGAAGAUCAAAUAAGAAGACAUUGUAAUGGCUCAGGAAUCUCCUCGUUUUCACUGUAGUGACUUUUAUUGAAGGGUAUGAAAAACGCUAGUAUUUGUGGGUGGUGUUAGAUGAAGGCCACACAUUUAUUGCAAGCUUAUUGUUGUUGUUCGUCUUCUUCAUGUCACUGACACAUCUUUCCAACAAACCCCGUUAAAGACAUAAUGACUUCUCUACGGAAAACUCAGAUCCUUUUUUUCUUUAUGGACAUUUCGAGUUUUUACCAGGUCCUCCCGUGUUUGGGAAAGUCUUGAGAUUAGCGUUGAGCUUCAUUGUUUCUUGGAUGGAGAGGUCAGGCAAGAUCCAGUCUCCAGAUGACGAUGCAAAUGGGCCUGCGUUUCCGAGAAGGCAGUCCACGAGGCCGCGUAGGCCUGUCUUCUGCCAGGACAGGUUGAAAUGGUCGAACCCGAAGUUGUAAUAGGAUUUGAGCCAGGAGAUGUCUAGCCAGUCGUAGAUGAUGGAUCCGAGUCUACAAAUCUGGAGUAGACAUAUGGGUUUGAGGGACUUGCCAUCCUCUGGCCUGAAAUUUGUUAUAUACAUUUUGAGUUAUAACACUCCAUGACUCCAAGGACUCUUAUCUAAGAGAUGACAAGAAGGUAGAGAGUGGCAUGGGCGUUUUUACCCUGAACCAAUGACCGAACCUUGGCUCGAACAGAGAAAACCAAAAUCCGGUCCGAACCGUUACAAGAAGUGUUCGAACAGGACAUAAGAGCUAUGCACUUUCGGGUUUGGGUAUAAGAUCAAACACAACCGAAAUCCAAACUAGGAUCCAAAAGUAUCAAAAAUUAGUUAAAUGUAUUAGGGGUGUUAUUGGUUGUAUAAAUUGAAAUCAACUCCAUUAGAUUUAAAACAUAUCAGAUUUUAAUUAUUAUUUUUUGUUUAUUUCAAAGUAUUUUAGAUAUUUUGGAGUAUUUUAAAGAUUUUUGUAGUUUUGAAUAGUUAAAUAUUUUGAGUAUUUUUGGUCAAUUUUGAUUUAGUUUUUUUUUUUUAGAUUUUUAACGCUUUCAUACGUUGGUUAUAAUCCUAUCUAAAUCGAAUCCGGAAGAAAUUGAAUCCGACCCGAAAAUUACUAAAACCUGAAUGAGACUUAUGAACAUAAUAUUGAAAAUCCAAAAAUCCGCAUCAACCAAACUGAGACCGAACAACCAUGCCUAGAAGAGAGCAAACUCACUGAAUUCCAUCGAGGUAGGUUCUAGUACCCCUAUUUAAUGCUCCUGAUAAGGAUGUUAAACUCAACACCCAGUUCUCAUUUGUGUUCUCAUGACCAUCAAACAUCUGAAAACAACAAAAACACAGGCAAAUCAAUUUCAAACAACACAGCCAGAUAGUAUUUAUUGUGUUAAAUCUACCUUGUCAGCGAGCAUUUGCUGCAACACACGAACAACUUGAGCACCAGCAGAGUGGCCAACAAAGUGAAUAGGAUGAUCUUCAUCCCAUUCUUGAUACUCCCCUGAAGUCUAACAGAUUCAUCGGCACAAAGAGUGAAAACUAAAGCUACCUGAAAAAGAAAAAGAAAAAGACUAAAACCUUUGUCAUAAAAACGACCAAACUGAGAAUGCCCACAAGUUUUACUAUGAUCUUCACCGUAAUCAACUCGUCCACCUUUCAAGUAAUAAAACAACUCUCUCGCCCUAUAACAAAAAAAUCAGUACUCUUCACCCUGAGAUGAUGUAUCAUAACAAAAGGUUGAAACUAUAUCACUUAACCUAUCGUGUACACUCGUCAAAGAACCCAAAUCAGGCACUAACACUCUCUCAUCCUUCUUCUCAGCACCAGCAAAGUAUGAUAAACCACCUAACCUCUGCAAAAUUACAAAACCCCAAUUAACACACCAUUUGCAAUGACAAAGAGAGGAGGUAAAAAGUGUUAACACUUACUCCUUUGCCAAAACCGAAAAUGCCAUGGACUAAAACAAUGGGAGUCAAGUCGUUGACUUGUGCUGUUGUUGUGUUCCCUUGUUUGACUUCAAUGGUGGGCUUGGGCUUGAAGACUGACUCAACCAACGUCUGAGUGAGAUCUCCGGCGAUGGCUGAGCUGAAGAGGUAAAGCCCGAAUAGAAUAUGAACGACGGAGCUUACUAAAAGCUCUGCUAGUUGAAGAGCUGGCGUGAUCAACAACGGAAUCAUCUUUUCUUUAAAGGUCUCGAUCUUUCGUAUUUCUUGA